GGAAUAUUGGGCAAUGGGCGCAAGCCUGACCCAGCAACGCCGCGUGAAGGAAGACGGUUUUCGGAUCGUAAACUUCUGUCCUUGGUGAAGAUAGUGACGGUAGCCAAGGAGGAAGCCCCGGCUAACUACGUGCCAGCAGCAGCGGUAAUACGUAGGGGGCGAGCGUUGUCCGGAAUGAUUGGGCGUAAAGGGCGCGUAGGCGGCCCGGUAAGUCUGGAGUGAAAGUCCUGCUUUUAAGGUGGGAAUUGCUUUGGAUACUGCUGGGCUUGAGUGCAGGAGAGGUUAUCGGAAUUCCCGGUGUAGCGGUGAAAUGCGUAGAGAUCGGGAGGAACACCAGUGGCGAAGGCGGGUAACUGGACUGCAACUGACGCUGAGGCGCGAAAGUGUGGGGAGCAAACA
rnacentral:rRNA from 1 species